rnacentral:rRNA from 1 species
CCUGGCUCAGGAUGAACGCUGGCGGCGUGCUUAACACAUGCAAGUCGAACGAUGAUGCCCACUUGUGGGUGGAUUAGUGGCGAACGGGUGAGUAACACGUGAGUAACCUGCCCUUGACUCUGGGAUAAGCCUGGGAAACUGGGUCUAAUACCGGAUAUGACCUUCCAUCGCAUGGUGGUUGGUGGAAAGCUUUUGUGGUUUUGGAUGGACUCGCGGCCUAUCAGCUUGUUGGUGGGGUAAUGGCCUACCAAGGCGACGACGGGUAGCCGGCCUGAGAGGGUGACCGGCCACACUGGGACUGAGACACGGCCCAGACUCCUACGGGAGGCAGCAGUGGGGAAUAUUGCACAAUGGGCGCAAGCCUGAUGCAGCGACGCCGCGUGAGGGAUGACGGCCUUCGGGUUGUAAACCUCUUUCAGUAGGGAAGAAGCGUAAGUGACGGUACCUGCAGAAGAAGCGCCGGCUAACUACGUGCCAGCAGCCGCGGUAAUACGUAGGGCGCAAGCGUUAUCCGGAAUUAUUGGGCGUAAAGAGCUCGUAGGCGGUUUGUCGCGUCUGCCGUGAAAGUCCGGGGCUCAACUCCGGAUCUGCGGUGGGUACGGGCAGACUAGAGUGAUGUAGGGGAGACUGGAAUUCCUGGUGUAGCGGUGAAAUGCGCAGAUAUCAGGAGGAACACCGAUGGCGAAGCAGGUCUCUGGGCAUUAACUGACGCUGAGAGCGAAAGCAUGGGGAGCGAACAGGAUUAGAUACCCUGGAGUCCAUGCCGUAAACGUUGGGCACUAGGUGUGGGGGACAUUCCACGUUUUCCGCGCCGUAGCUAACGCAUUAAGUGCCCCGCCUGGGGAGUACGGCCGCAAGGCUAAAACUCAAAGGAAUUGACGGGGGCCCGCACAAGCGGCGGAGCAUGCGGAUUAAUUCGAUGCAACGCGAAGAACCUUACCAAGGCUUGACAUGAACCGGAAAGACCUGGAAACAGGUCCCCCACUUGUGGUCGGUUUACAGGUGGUGCAUGGUUGUCGUCAGCUCGUGUCGUGAGAUGUUGGGUUAAGUCCCGCAACGAGCGCAACCCUCGUUCUAUGUUGCCAGCACGUGAUGGUGGGGACUCAUAGGAGACUGCCGGGGUCAACUCGGAGGAAGGUGGGGACGACGUCAAAUCAUCAUGCCCCUUAUGUCUUGGGCUUCACGCAUGCUACAAUGGCCGGUACAAAGGGUUGCGAUACUGUGAGGUGGAGCUAAUCCCAAAAAGCCGGUCUCAGUUCGGAUUGGGGUCUGCAACUCGACCCCAUGAAGUCGGAGUCGCUAGUAAUCGCAGAUCAGCAACGCUGCGGUGAAUACGUUCCCGGGCCUUGUACACACCGCCCGUCAAG